rnacentral:misc_RNA from 1 species
AACUUUUGACAACGGAUCUCUUGGUUCUCGCAUCGAUGAAGAACGCAGCGAAAUGCGAUAAGUAGUGUGAAUUGCAGAAUUCAGGGAAUCAUCGAAUCUUUGAACGCACAUUGCGCCUCCUGGUAUUCCGGGAGGCAUGCCUGUCCGAGCGUCAUUAAACAAAUUCAAGCUUCUGUAAUUUUUGCUUGGUCUUGAGGGAUGAGCGACACUGAAUUGAACUUUUUUGAAUUCUUGUUCUAUCUUGCUCACCCAUCGAAUUUCAGUGGCGGAUUUAAGCAUAGUUGGCCCGGUGUGAUAGGUUUUUCAUGUCACUGGGCGGCGCAUGUAGCAAACUCCUGUCAAUAGAAACUCUCCCCUUGACUAUUAUUAUACAACGACCUCGGAUCAGGUAGGGAUACCCGCUGAACUUAAGCAUAUCAAUAAGCGGAGGCU